GUUCAAAUUCAAAUUUGAACAACACUUGUAAACAGUGAUGAAAUGUUAACAAAUGUGUUAGUUUAUAUUUAGAAAAGCCGACGGCGUUUGAAAUCUCAUAACUUUUUUCACGAAUACAGGUGCAGUUCCCCUGUAGACACACGCGGGGGCGCUGUUCUGUCUGGUUGAUGGAGCAUUGAGCGACGAGAAGAAGACUGACGUACCGACUUCAAAAAAAAGGCGCGGGCGCGGAUCAGAUCAGAGACGGGUGACUAGUUGUCGAUGCAAUGGCACUGACGGAAGAACUUUUAAAACAUAUUAAGGCGUUCAAAUACACAUAAGGGCAGAAGGAAAAUUGUGAAACGGAUGCAGAAACGUGGUAUCCUGACGACGACGAUGUGCGCAAAAUGCAACCGUAGCAUGUCUGGUGAAAUGCCAAGGAUGGGCUGUGGUGGCUCUGUAAGCAUCAUAAAAGUUUCCCAAAGUCUGUAAGUAAUGGCUCAAUAUUCACCAAGUCUCACAUCGCUCUGAGAAAAUGGCUUGAGUUCAUGCACAGCCUCUUUGCCCUCAGCCGCUGGGUUGAACGGACCUGAUGACUGACUGGUGAAGGUUCCUGGGAUCCCCCGUGGUGAAGUGACAGUGUUCACACCUCCACAACUCAAUCCUCUCUGCUUCUGAGAGCUCAAGUGUCCUUUUGUUGGGUAUCAUUUAAUUGGGUUCUCUUAGUCUCCCUCUGCCAUCAGGUUGGCGUGUGAUUUUGAAUAAAUUGUCUAAAUCUAUUGGAUAGAUAGCCAUGAAAAUCUGGUGCACCUCAGGAUAACAUUUUAUUCAUUCAUUUAAUGUGGUGACAUCGUCUGGUGGACAUUUCGUUUUCUUCAUUUGCCCAAAUACCUCCAAAACUAAUUACAUUCAUAUUCACCUGCGCUUCUGAUAUGUGUUGUUUUUAUUGCCAAUAAGGAACUGAUAACAUGCUAAUGAGAUGGGGAAUAUUUCAAAGGUUUUAUAUGUUAAACACCAACAUGAUUUAAUUUUAAGUAACUUAGCAUGCUGACAUUAGCAUUUAGUUAAAAAACCUAGCAUUUAAAUGUUUUCACUGAAUAAACUUUAAAACACCAACUACUCGUGUUUGUUGUUUGAAAUGUCAUCAUUAGUUUUCAUUUACAAAGAAUAAAUGUUUUCCUCUCUGGUACAUUCAGUGAUGAGGAGACGAGUACAGAAGCUGAUAAACACAAACAAGAAAAAUAUAGAAAUAGUCAUAAUCUACCAUCUCAAAGUGUCAAUGAGUCAUCACUUCAAAAACCUUUCUGAGAACACAACUUACAGGAGUUGCACACUGAACUAUUAAACCAUUAAAACCACACUGUAUGCUUUGGAUAAAAGCAUCAGCUAAAUGAAAAUGUUAAACUAAGUUAAAUAAUAUACUGAAUAUUUAAAUGUCACUUCAAAUGUUUAUACAAUCUAAUUCAUAG
ensembl:lncRNA